GCAAACUGUAGGUAGAAUCAAUUAAUUUUUAAGAGAGCAUACUGGGAAAGCAAUGUGUAUGAAUAUUAAAACUGCUUUAGAGAAUACUCAUGCAAAAAUGAUCAUGAAACCAUUUACAAAACAUCUCCAUUUAUCUGCAACUUUAUCUAUGUAUAUUUCAAUCUAGAAUCAGAAAUCCUGAAAGAAAUGAAAGACUAUGGGCACUCACAGUCACAAACUUGAUAACUGAUAAAACUAGUUAAAAACUACAAAUAUUGAAACAGCAAAUUAGAAGAUGGAAACAGAAGUGAUAGCAGAAAGAAAGAAAAAGAGGUGCUAUACUGUGUGCUGGAUAUUCGAGGAUGAAUAAAAUAUUCUCCGUCUUCAGAGGACUUCUCAGGCAAGAAAUCAAAAAUAGUUACAUAGCAUGAUCUCAUCACUUAUCAAUAUUUAUGAAGAUAUUCAGCAUUUACUUCUUUAAUGGGGAAAUAGCCUGUUUUGCUCACCUCUGUAUGCACAGCCCCAAGGGCAGUGUUAGUUAAAUCUGUCACUAAAUAUUUGUGCAAAGGAGGCAAGAAGAGGGAAAGGGUUAGAGGAAAGAGGAACCCAUAAAUGAGACCGCAAAGGUACUGGCACAAAGAAAAAGACAACCAGGGAAACCAGUAGAAACUGAUAUCAAGAAAGCCAAGGAAGUAAGAUGAAUUUAAGAAAGAGUGUUCAAAGUAUCAAAUACUAUAUAAGGAAAAACAAAAAAUGUUAUGUGUAUAUUAUAUAUACCCUAUUAAAUACUAUUAAAUUCCUUUUCAUACUUAA